rnacentral:lncRNA from 1 species
GUCUUCCCUGUUGUGACAGUCUCAGAGCCUACGUUCUUUCAAUGGCUGGGCUACAAGAUGGUGACAGGCUGCCCAACCUGACACAGCAAGAAGGCGGCCAUCUGCAAACCAGAAAGAGAGCCCUCACCAGGAACCGGAUCUGCUGGCACCUUGAUCUUGGACUUCCUAUCCUUUAGAGCUGUGAGAAAUGUCGCCCCCAGGUCAAUGGGAUAUUUGUUACAGCACCAGGUACUGCCUGAGAACUCUACCUUUAGGGAGCCUGCGUGCUGGGUCACUGGGGAGACAAUGAAGGUGCUUGACACCCAGUUUGAAUAUUGUGUCACUGCAAAGCUGACUGCUGUUGAAGGAUAGCCAGUGAGAGGUCAUGGCAAGCCAUCAGAAGAAGCAGAAGUCAUGAGCAUGCUGAAGCUAUGAGGCCAAGACAAAAUGUCACAUUGCCACAAGAAGAGGGACAAACAGGCAACAGGCAGAGCCCAUGGGAAUCAGUAAUCUCCUGCUGACACUGAGGCCUUGGGACUAACUCAGAUCCAGUACUACUCUCUUGGGACCUGUUCUGACUCCAGCUCCUGUCCUUGGGGUCCACUGAGAUCCCUGUAGCCUUGUAAUAAGCCCACAUUAUCAUAUUUCCCCUGCCGGCUCCACCCUAGAGCAUUUCCAACAAUUUCCAGUGCUUUUCCCCUUCUCAUACCACUGGGCCUUUGCACGUGCUCGUGCCUCCCCAACUUGCCCUGCCUUCUCCUUCACCCAGACAACUCCUACUAAAUCUCUCAGACUCCUCAGCUGUGUCCCUUCCUAGGGGAGGACUCUCUUCCCUCCAGUGAGCCCGGUGGUCCUCCCUGGGAUCCCCUGCUCCUUGUCUUCCCUGCCGUCCUUACUGCCAUCCUUGUUCUCUACUCAGAAGGAGGCAGAGGCUGGCCUGCCCCCAAUCCCCUGUAGACUGACCAGAUGAAUUGACCUGGGCUGGGCAGGGCAGGCGUGUUUGACCAGUUGUCUGGGCACCCCAUGGCUCAGUCAAGUUGACACAUAAAGUUCACCGCCCCAGGGCCCCUUCGUUGUAUUUGUGUAUGAAUAAAACACAGCAUCCACUCCAGGUAUCUGAGGGUCCUGGAGGCAGGUUUUGUGAUCCCUUUUUACAGAUGAGGAUGCGGAGGUCCAGUUGUCACUCACCCAGAUCACACUCUCAUCUGCUGAUGGGAGGAGUAUUUGAUGGGAUGUGUGAGCCCGGCCGUCUCCCUUGGGACACAUCAGCUCAUUAAAUUUGCCAGCCCCUGCCUGAAAAAGUAUUUAAUUUGCCUUUUACAAUGCACCCAUUGCAAGUUAAUUAACUGGCAAUUGAAAGUUAUAGGUGGCAUUAGAAUUUAUUAAUAACAUUGGGAAUAAAUCUCCCUGGAAUUCAAUUAACUGAAAA